rnacentral:miRNA from 1 species
GACGUCGAUAUUCGACGUCAUAAACACGAGCAACUUUGGUGUUUAUGACGUCGAUAUUCGACGUCAUAAACACGAGCAAGUUUGGUGUUUAUGACGUCGAUAUUCGACGUCAUAAACACGAACAAGUUUGGUAUUUAUGACGUCGAUAUUCGACGUCAUAAACACGAACAAGUUUGGUAUUUAUGACGUCGAUAUUCGACGUCAUAAACACGAGCAACUUUGGUGUUUAUGACGUCGAUAUUCGACGUC